AACGAACGCUGGCGGCAGGCUUAACACAUGCAAGUCGAAUGCCCCGCAAGGGGAGUGGCAGACGGGUGAGUAACGCGUGGGAAUCUACCUAGUUCUACGGAACAACAGUUGGAAACGACUGCUAAUACCGUAUACGCCCUAUGGGGGAAAGAUUUAUCGGAAUUAGAUGAGCCCGCGUAAGAUUAGCUAGUUGGUGGGGUAAUGGCCUACCAAGGCGACGAUCUUUAGCUGGUCUGAGAGGA
rnacentral:rRNA from 1 species